UUAGAAGCAGCCAUCAUUUAAAGAAAGCGUAAUAGCUCACUGGUCGAGUCGGCCUGCGCGGAAGAUGUAACGGGGCUAAACCAUGCACCGAAGCUGCGGCAGCGACGCUUAUGCGUUGUUGGGUAGGGGAGCGUUCUGUAAGCCUGCGAAGGUGUGCUGUGAGGCAUGCUGGAGGUAUCAGAAGUGCGAAUGCUGACAUAAGUAACGAUAAAGCGGGUGAAAAGCCCGCUCGCCGGAAGACCAAGGGUUCCUGUCCAACGUUAAUCGGGGCAGGGUGAGUCGACCCCUAAGGC
rnacentral:rRNA from 1 species